CGUUGAGUUAGUUAAUUGUGAAAUCCCAAAGCUUAACUUUGGAACUGCAAUUAAAACUGCUCGACUAGAGUUUGAUAGAGGAAAGCGGAAUACAUAGUGUAGAGGUGAAAUUCGUAGAUAUUAUGUAGAACACCAGUUGCGAAGGCGGCUUUCUGGAUCAACACUGACGCUGAGGCGCGAAAGUAUGGGUAGCAAAGAGGAUUAGAUACCCUCGUAGUCCAUACCAUAAACGAUGAUUGCUAGAUGUUGGAAAUUUAUUUUCAGUAUCGCAGCUAACGCAUUAAGCAAUCCGCCUGGGGAGUACGACCGCAAGGUUAAAACUCAAAUGAAUUGACGGGGACCCGCACAAGCGGUGGAGCAUGUGGUUUAAUUCGAAGAUACGCGCAGAACCUUACCAACCCUUGACAUGUCUGUCGCGAGUUUAGGAAACUAGACUCUUCGGUUCGGCCGGACAGAACACAGGUGCUGCAUGGCUGUCGUCAGCUCGUGUCGUGAGAUGUUGGGUUAAGUCCCGCAACGAGCGCAACCCCUACUUUUAGUUGCCAUCAGGUCAUGCUGGGCACUCUGAAAGAACUGCCAGUGAUAAGCUGGAGGAAGGUGGGGAUGACGUCAAGUCCUCAUGGCCCUUACGGGUUGGGCUACACACGUGCUACAAUGGUAGAUACAAUGAGAUGCAAAGUGGCGACGCCAAGCUAAACUCAAAAAUCUACCUCAGUUCGGAUUGCACUCUGCAACUCGAGUGCAUGAAGCUGGAAUCGCUAGUAAUCGUAGAUCAGCGUGCUACGGUGAAUACGUUCCCGGGUCUUGUACACACCGCCCGUCACACCAUGGAAGUUGGUUCUACCUUAAAGCAGAUUGCUAACCGCAAGGAGGCGUUUGACCAAGGUAUAGUCAGCGACUGGGGUGAAGUCGUAACAAGGUAACC
rnacentral:rRNA from 1 species